GGUUUUUUGGUUUUCUUCAUUGCAAUCUUCCUAAAUUGCACAUUUCAUAAGACCGUCAGGAAAAAGUCAGGAAAUGAGGUUUCCAGGAAGAGGGAGGCGGAGAAUACAGGGCCGGGUGGGAAGCCGGAGAAUAGGAGAGCAGUCUUUCAUUAUCACGACCUGUUCCACGCACACCCUCUCCCGGUGCCAUCCUCGCGCUGGAUGCGAGCCAUCCUCUGGGCUAAUGAGCUAGGCGCGGGAGAUAACUAAUCCUAAUGCAAUUACCGCUCGGUGCAGCACUGAUAGGUCCACUGUGCUCCCCGCGUGCCCAGCAGCCUGAGCCAGGCUGGAGCAGCUGGGCCUCAGCCUCCUGUCGGAGACGUUUUGACAGCUGUAUACAGUCCCGGGCCCCCUCCCACGGCCCGCGUCCCGGGAGAGUGAUCUUUUCACAGCGAGUCCCCAUGAAGCCUGUCGGAGCUGAACACGGCAUCCAUGUCUACAUCCUCUGGACGUUGGGAAAGUAGAAGAACUCACAACCAUUUCUUGGACUCCACCAGUACCACGGGUGGCCAGUCAGGAGGAAUCUGUUUAGAUUGCAUCUGAGCUCAUCAAAGCAAUUGUCUCUUUUCAAAGGAUUUUCACACUUCAUUUGUCCUCACAACUUUUCAGGUAAUUCAGACAAAUUGAAAACUUUACUUUCGUCUAAAUGCACUGAAGGCAGAGUAGGAGCAGAGGGGCUGAGCACAGCUAAUUGACUCAGCCUUUAGGCUCGCUCUCUGUUAGGGAUUUGAGCAGAAAAGAGCUU
rnacentral:lncRNA from 1 species